rnacentral:tRNA from 1 species
GCCGAUGUAGCUCAGUUGGUAGAGCACGUCCAUGGUAAGGACGGGGUCGCCGGUUCAAGCCCGGCCAUCGGCUCCA